GUUAAACAUUAAUAAAACAUUGACUUCACUUUCUUCUUUCAGCUUUCCUUUUCACAUUUCUCUUUUCAGCAGAAGAAUUGGCCGGUUCCAUUGUCCCGAUACAGGCUGAAGAACUAAAGGUUUGAGGUGAAGAGAUGUGAAGAUAGCUGAAGAACUAGUUCGCUUUUCUGAUACAAGCUGAAGAGUUGAUGAACUGAGCUGAAGAGUUGAACGAUUCCUUAAAGAAAAUGUAUACUGUUGGGUUGUUGACAUGAUGAUGAACUGAAGCUAAUUAGUCUCUCCGUCACACUGUUCUCUCAAGUGUCUCAUUGAAGAACACAAUUUCAAAGAGAUUUUGUUGGAUUUGGGUUUAUCAGGUUUUGCUGAGAGGAAACUAAGAUUAUGCAGACAUCAAAGUCAAGGUAUUUCUUAUCUCUUAACUGUAAAAUGACUAUAUUUCAUCCUUGAAAUAAUGACAUACAAUGUCAUACAAUUUUGUAGUUAUUAUUAUGUAUUUAUUAGAAUCAAGAAUGGUAACAAGGUACUCGAAACUCGAAACUCACAAUAAUUCUGAUCAUCCCAUAACAUAUGAUUCUGAUUCUGAUUAUUUGAAGGCUCAAGGUGAAUUAUUAAGGUGUGUGCUUCAUUCUCUUGAGCUUCCUCAUCCUGAAGUUUUUUAUCCAUGUUUUUUUCUAAAAAAUAGCUACCCUUAGCAAUAGAGGGUAUUGUUUUUCUGUGUAGUAUUGAUCAAUAAUGUCCAAUAUGUGGCUUCAUUUAGAUAGUUAGUUAGUUGUUUAGUUUUCUUCCCUCUAAAUAUGUUUGCACCAAAAGAAUUCAAACCUACAAAUGAGUUGCUGGAGCUUUUGUACUAGAUGUUGCAUUUCCAGUGACUGCUGUAAUUUUACUUCCUAACUACUGAGUAUUGAUGAAUAAUUUCCAGUAUGUGUCUUCAUUUUACUGCUGUAAUUUUAUUUACUGACUGCAUUUGUCCAUGAGUAAUAUCAGUUCUGUCAAGUUGUUUGGCCAUUUAAAAUAUGAAAAGAAUGUGGUGAGAAUGUAUUUAAUAUCUUUGAAACUUCAGAAAUUCACUUUGACUAUACUGCACUAUUGCCCUCCAUAUUUAGCCGCGUAUCUGUUUUAUCCAUAAAUUCCAACUAAUAAAAUAGGUAGGAAAUGAAUCAUGAUCUUUUGAGCCUCAUUAUAAUGAUUCAUAUUCCACCAUCUCGUUAAGUAAUUUUUUAGAGCAAUGUGUCUAUGAACUUUUCAAAAAAGGCAACAAAGAAGCUCCAACUGUGAACUUUAAAGGGAUUGUAUAUUUUACUUAAAGAGAUGAAAAGCUGAAGAUACAGAGGUAGGGAUGGAAGAAAUCAAGAGUGGAAGCUGAAGAACUCAAGUGCUGAGAUUCCUUUUCAUUCUCUAGUAAUCUGUACAACCAAUUUGUGAAGGUAAGAACUGAUUUUCUAGUAAUCUGUAGAUCUGCAAAUAGUAAAUUGGUUGAAUGUUCAUUUUGUGUUUAGAAGAAAUUGAUUACUUUUGGGGUUCUUACAACUGAAAUUUCAAAUUAGGAAAAGAAGAAAAAUUUGUAGUCAAGCGUAGUUAGUAGGUUUCUUGCCUAUAUUUGUGUAUGGAAGGAGGAAAAUGUCUGUGGGUUUUGUGAUUAAGUUUUUUGGUUUUUUUUUGGUCUUGGAAUUCCAUGAAAAUAUACAGAUUCUAAUAUUGAACCUGAACAAUUUCUUUACACUGCAAAAACUAAUAGAAAAUGGGGCCUCAGAGUUCAAAAAAAUGAACAAUAACUCAAGGCUGCUAAGCCACUGAGAGGGAGCUAAUAAAUAUUAAAAGUACAGUUAACUAAAAAUUGCUUCGAUCUGGGGGAAGCAUCUCGUUGUGAGUUUUGACUUUCGUUCAAAUUAUGUCUGUAUUUUCUGCUCGUUUAACUGUAUUUUCUGCUAAUGAGCACGAUCCAGGUUUCUUCUAAGAUGCAUUAGUUCAUUUAUAUCCUUAAAUUGAUCAAGAGUUUGGUGAACUAUGUGGCAGCUAGUAUUCAUUUCAAUGCAAAUUUUGGAGUUAUUACUUGUUAGUUUGGGAGAUUGAUUGAGUCAAUGCAUAUCUUCAAGAUGAAUUAAUAUGCUUUGCUUCAAUUGUUUUUAACAUUUUUUAGUUGUGAAUGUAUCUGCAAUAUCAUUUGAUUUCGACAUUGCAAUAUCGUCAAAGGGGUUUAAAUAUAAGCAUAAAUCUUGGCUAUUUCCUUUUUUUUUGGAGUCACUACCUCAACACAAUAGAUGUGUCUAAUAUUUGUUCUCGAGUUGCAAGUUCCAACUCAUGAUAUAUGAUAAUAAUUCUUCAUAGUUCUGCUCUUAAUCUAGAACAUAGCUUCAUAUUUUCAGAUGUUUCAGAUUUCUGUCCAUAUUUGCUUCUAAGUGAGUAAGUUUGUAACAGUUUAAAGUUCAAUAGAUCCAUUUCCAGCAUGCUUCAAUAUUUUUAUAUUUCCGUCUUGUUUCGGUUUUGAAUAGCAUUCCAUUAUUUAUUUGCUUCUUGGAACAUGGAAGCUGAUGGGAUUCUUUGUUUAUAAUGCUAAUCAUUCGUAAUACUCAUCGAUAGUACAUUAAGUAGCCAAUUUGUUUAUACUACUAGGAUUUAUUCUUUUAAUGAACUUGUUUGGAUGAGUAGCUUAUGUUUAGAAGAAAUUUUUGUUUUGUGUUUAGAAGAAAUUGAUUAUUUUUGGGGUUCUUACAGCUGAAAUUUCAAAUUGAUUAAUUGUUAAAUUUCUUAAUUUUGUGUUCUUUCUUGAUGGAACAGAUUUGUUUACUAGAGAAAUUGAUAUUCAAGCAGUUAACGUUGUUAUCAAUUCAAACAUCUCUUUUUAUAUAAUUAUAGGCCAUGUGUGUUUUGAAUUCUCAAAACAGGAAAAAGCAAAAUGGAGACAUCGAAUGGGACCUAUUAGUUUUGCAAGAGUACGUGUGACAUUGGUAAUACUUAGCAUCUUCGGCCAUAUACUUUUAAUCCAUUUGUAUUCCUCCAAUAGAUUGAUACGUUUUUAAAUAUCUUUUUACAUAACUUGUAGCGUGCAAUCAAAGAAAACAAUGAGGAACCACCAAAGUAUGAAAUGUUUAUUGAAACUCGUACAAAAAUGGGAAAGGAACUUCAGGCCGAUACUCAAAUUGCAAUAGUAAGUUUUUUAAAGUGUAUCAAUGAUGAAAUAUCAUUACUCAAUUUAUAUUUGAGUAUCGCUAUCAAAGAGAUGUUAUUUUACCGAAUGUGUACUUCUACGGAAAUAUCAACACUAUUACAAGUAGAAUGUUACAGAGAGAAAAAAACAUCAAAAAUUAAUUCUAAAAAAAUAGGUUGUUAUAAUGAAAUGUUAUUAUCACGACUGAUGGUUAAAUAAAGAACUGAGUGUAUGUCAAAUAUUUUUGUUGAUAAAUUUUUCUUUAAUAUAUAUUUAUCAGUAGCAUAAUUUAAUUUUAAUAUAUGAACUACAUCACUUAUGGUGAAAAAUAUUUUAUUUCUUUAAGUUUCUACCAUAUCUUUGUGGAAUUUUAGUCCUAUAUUUUUUUUUUGCAACAUACAUUUCAUAUAGUUGUUGUCUAAUGAGAGUAUCUAGUAUCUAUACAAGUUGUAUCAUGAUACAGAAUAUUAAACUUUUUCAAUAAAAAAAUUUAUUGAUGAAUAAAAUUUAAAUUAUUUAUUUAUAGAAUCUUUAAUUUGAUUUAAGAUCAUUUUGUGAUCAACCAAGGGGUGUAUCUUGUGACAUAUCAUUUUCUUAUAUCAAAAUGAACACAAAUAAUAGGGAAUUCAUACAUAAAAAAGUCAAAACAAAAUACAUAUAAAAAAAUAAAAGAUAUGGAACAAUUCAUAGCCAACGAAGAAGGAAGACAAAAAUAUAUGCUGAUGAUAUAUUUACUCUAGUGUUAAAUUUGGUUGAAAUCUCUUGCCACCAACACUUUACUUUCUCUAAAAAAAUAUAUUGAAAAAUUCAUAGUCAAUGAAGAAGGAAGACAAAAAUAUAUGUUCAAGCUAUAUUUACCUUGGUGUUCCAAAAUUAGAGAGAAACUCCUCAUUUGAGGUUAAAAGAAUAAAAAAAGAAGAAAUAAUGUAGAAUUUUACCCCAAUUAUGUGUCUUUUUUCAUAUUUGUUUAUUUUUAUUGUGUCUCCCAUAACUUGAUUUAUUUAUUUUAGGCGGAAUGGUCCGGUGGACCCUUGUACUUGUAUGAAUUUGUAUUGUGAACCCUUCUACUUAACAUUUUGUCAACUAAACACUUAUACUCAACAAAAUACAAUAAGUGACUAUUGACUAGACUUAUGUGGC
rnacentral:lncRNA from 1 species